UACAGAGGGGGCAAGCGUUGUUCGGAAUUACUGGGCGUAAAGGGCGCGUAGGCGGCCUGUUAAGUCGAACGUGAAAUCCCCGGGCUCAACCCGGGAACUGCGUCCGAUACUGGCAGGCUUGAAUUCGGGAGAGGGAUGUGGAAUUCCAGGUGUAGCGGUGAAAUGCGUAGAUAUCUGGAGGAGCACCGGUGGCGAAGGCGGCAUCCUGGACCGAUAUUGACGCUGAUGCGCGAAAGCCAGGGGAGCAAACGGG
rnacentral:rRNA from 1 species